rnacentral:rRNA from 1 species
UACACUCCUGCGGGAGGCAGCAGUGAGGAAUAUUGGACAAUGGGUGGAAGCCUGAUCCAGCCAUCCCGCGUGCAGGAAGACGGCCCUAUGGGUUGUAAACUGCUUUUAUCUGGGGAUAAACCUACUUACGUGUAAGUAGCUGAAGGUACCAGAAGAAUAAGCACCGGCUAACUCCGUGCCAGCAGCCGCGGUAAUACGGAGGGUGCAAGCGUUAUCCGGAUUUAUUGGGUUUAAAGGGUCCGUAGGCGGACUGAUAAGUCAGUGGUGAAAUCCGACAGCUUAACUGUCGAACUGCCAUUGAUACUGUUAGUCUUGAGUAAGGUUGAAGUGGCUGGAAUAAGUAGUGUAGCGGUGAAAUGCAUAGAUAUUACUUAGAACACCAAUUGCGAAGGCAGGUCACUAAGUCUUAACUGACGCUGAUGGACGAAAGCGUGGGGAGCGAACAGGAUUAGAAACCCCAGUAGUCCCA